AAUACCAUAAAUUUUAAUAAGAAGAAGAUAAAUACUCCUACAUCAGUUAGAUUAAUAAGAGACAUACAGUGAGUGAAUAUAUGUAUAGUUUUUGAGUACUUUCUCAAAAUAAGCUAUCUCUCUGGGACACCAUCUAUUGUUCCCUAGAAUUUGGAGCGUAAAAAUUAGGAGAGACUCUAGUAGCCUCUCCUGCAACUUGGAGGUGUUCUACAAAGGAGAUCGUGAAGAGUUUGUAACGCAAGCAACGAACAAGAUUCGGCAAUUUGGUGAUCUAUUCCACCAAAGGUCACAGCAGUGAUACGUUCACUGCCGAACCUAGGGGCAAAUAAAGCUUGUUUUGACACAUAGUGAGAAUAUCAAGACUUUUGCUGAUAUUUCUUGUCAUCUCGAUCUUGAGGUAGAGCGCAUGGUGGAGCACCAAAACACCCUCCUUAUCACCCAAUCUAGGCAGCAAAAGACAUUUAGGCCUAAACGCAAAGGACAAGGGAGGAAUGCCAAAGGAGCUAGUAACCUUGGGCCUAAAGAAGGCAAGAUAGCAAAGCGCCAAAAGGGCAAGUGUGCUGAGAAGGACAAGACAAAGAUCAAGUGCUACAACUGUGGUAAGAAGGGCCACUUUGCUCGUGAGUGCACUGAGCUGAAGAAGAUUCAGGAGCAACCAAACAUAUAGCCAGAGAUAGAGUUGGGUGUGUGGAUUACAAAAAGAUACCAACAGGCACACAUUAUGUUAUUUUGGGUAACGGAGCUUAAGAAGAAGUCAUAGGAGUUGGAACCUACCAGCUCAAAUUGCGUUUGGGAUGUACAUUACUUCUUCAUGAUGUGCUUCAUGCACCUGGUGUACAAUGUAAUCUAUUUUCAGUACUUACUAUGCUUAAACUUGGAUUUAGUUUUCGUUUUAA